rnacentral:lncRNA from 12 species
AUGUGUGGGCAGGUCCCAUGCAGGCUGGGGGAUGCUGCAGGGCAGCAGGUUCCCCGGGGAUCCCUUCAGGGUCACCCUGAUGUCACGGUGGGCAGGGGGGAAACAGGGUUCCUGAGGUCCUCUACCCGCCCCAGAGUCACUCCGAGGCCCUGCAGCCACAUCCCUUUGCUGUCCCCGGGGACGGUGGUUGCCACCUGCGCUGUGGUGUGUCUGGGUGGAGGCAGCUGGGGGUGCGGCCCAGCCGAGGGGGCCAGACCGGACGCUGAGGCCUCCUGCCUGGCUGCCGGGCACUGUCUCCACAGAGCUCCACCCGGGACGUGGGGCACGAGCGGGAGGAAGGGGUCAUCUGCUCCACCGCCUCCAGGAGCAGGGAGGUGCCCUGCACAGCUAAUGGAGGCCAGCGCGGGCUCAAGGGUUCAGGGGCCUCGGCCUGGAGGGGGCAUCGGAUCGUCCCGAAGAAGCUCAGCCAGACGGAGCUGCUGGAGUACAAAGUCCGACAACUGCUGCUCGCCUUGCAGUGCAGGGAUGUCAUCUACAUCUUUAGCUUUUUGGAAGAUUACCAUGAAUUCGCCACCACGGACGAGGUGCUGGACCUGCUGUUCACCGAGUGAGCACCUGCCCCUCCGCAGCCCAGGGCUGGGCCACCUGCUGCUGGGGAGGCUGGGGAUGGUGUGAGCUUCCCGGCCUCGGGCUGCUCCCCCGCCUGGAGCAGGGUCCCCCAGGGCCUAGGGGGGUCCUGGAGGGCAGCCCUGGGGCCUGCCUGUGGCGGGUCAGCCAGAGGGGCUGUGCCUGUGCUCAGCAGCCAUCCUCCUCCCCAUGACCAGGCCUUUGCCUCCUCCCCCCCGUCACCAGAGUCCUGAGCGGCCUGUUUCCCCAUUGAAAGGGAAGUUUCAGAGUCCAUCGGGGGUCUGUGUCCUGGGGCAACCAGACCCGGUGACCCCGGGGCGCCCCGGGCCCACUUGGAUAUGGGCCAUGGGCCUGGCCGGAGCCCUUUCAUGCUCAAGCCUUCAGGAGGCCCCAGCAGGUGCGGGCGCUUCUCUGGGAGCUGCCCGUGGCCCCACGCACAAAGCUGACGGCCCCCAGGGCUCUGGCCUAGUCGGGGUCAGAGGGUGACAGCCCCCAUGAUGAGAGGUCACGUCCACAGGACGAUUCAUGGGAUGCCCCCGCCCUCCUAUAGGUAUGGGUGCAUCAUAGAUGCGUGGGGUAACAAUGACGUGGUCCUGCAAUGAUGGAAACUGUGAGUGACUCCGGCUCCUGCAGGAGGGCCUUCCCUCUCCAGGAGGGCAGCGAGGGUGCUGUGGGGUGGGGGGGGCUGCACUGUCACCCCACACAUCUGCAAUUCCUGUGACAGGGUAAAGGUCUAAGGCCCCUUCUGGAAAAGAGCGAAGGAGAGCGGUAGAUGGGGUGCAGGCUUGGUGGGAGGCACUGGGACCCCUAAGGAGACCUUCUCCAUGCACCCCCAACCCUCUCUCUGCCCCACACCUGGGACAAAGAGCAGAAGGGGUGGGUAGCAUCGCACUUCCCAAUCUGGUGGCACCUGCACCCGGGGGCACAGCAGGGGCUCAGGACGGCCGGUGAUGGCUCCCGGACCAGGUGGCCCCCGCCCCGUGGGACAUGGGAUAUUAGAGUCAGUAGAGGGACACCCCCGGGGGGCCCCUCAUGAGGGAGGCAGCCCAGAGCCACAGGAGGGAAGGUGGAGGUCCCGGGCGGCUCCUGGCAAGGCCUGGCAGGACACAGAGCCCGAGCCCUCCUGCCUUGGAGCUUCCAGAGCGACAGUGUGUGCAGUGAGGGCAAUGACAGGCCAGAUGCCCCCCGUCCCCGGACGCCUGCCGGUGGACUCAAGGGGCAGGUGGGCAGGGACCAGGCUGAGGAGGGAGCCCUGCUUCUCCAGGAGAGAUGCUGAUGGUCACCCCGCUGGGCCUGGGCUCCCCGCACAGAGGCUGUGUGCCAGCCCCUCCUCGGGGAGCAGGCCUGUGGCAGGCAGGACCGCCAGGUGGCAGGGGCACGAGGAGCAAGACUGGCUUCUGACACCCCGCGUGGGAGGCCGGGGCCCCGGGUCCUGCAGGGCUUCCCUGGGACACCUGCAUGUGACAGAGCCCUGUCUUCUGAUGCCUGUGCCCACCUGUCCCUCCCCAUGGCCAUCUCCUGCAUGCUGGAAAUAUGGCUGGAUUAUUAUGGGGACGACUUUUGUCAGUUCCCAGAAUUUCCGUCCCUUAUGAAACUUCUGCAAUUGCUAAGACAGCACAUGCCAGGCACAGAUGUGCAUCUCCGGGCCCUGCGUUACCUGAAGCAAUUCAGACACCUCCAGGCCCAUCCUUCUCUGUUGGUAACCAAUGUAUGUCCUUCUGGUCAACCUCUGCAUGCAGAGGUGAAGAGACCCUCUUUGUGUGCUUCCUUUAAGUAUAAUGAGUUCUUCUGAAGAAUGUGAUGAGUUGAAAUUGUAUUUUCAAAUCAUGAAGCCAGAGCCUGUGCCAGACCUUCUGCUACCUCUGAAAGAUUUGCUCUAAUUCUAAAUGUAAAAUUAGGAGAAGUGGAAAAGGAUAAGAUAAGCCAUUGCCUUUUUACCUCUGAGAAUUGGAUGCUAUUUCUAUGUAAUUUUCUUCUGAGACAGCCAUUGAGUUGGUUAGAAAAAGGCUUUUACUGAUGAGAUAUUGUUCAGCAUUCUUGUAUCAAUAUUCUCAAUUUAGCAACCAGAAAAUUUUUCCUCAGGAAAGGAGUACUAUGUGAUGAAAACCCAGUAAUCAGCAUAUUUUCCCCCAUUUUUUGGAAGUGACAUUUCACACUCAGGUGCCAAAAGUGAAUUGGGGUGGGAGAGUGAGAAACUUUCAAAUUUAUAGUUAUUACAGAAAUUGUGGAAAUUAUGAUCUGACUGGAAAGCAAUCUUGUAUCACCUCCCAAAGAAUCAUGGUCUUUUUUUUAAUAAAAAGCAGACAAAAAAAUUGUUUCCUGCCUUG